UCCCCACGCGUUUCUUGCCUCAGCGUCAGUUACAGGCUACAUAAGCUGCCUACKCAAUCGGUGUUCUUGAAGAUAUCUAAGCAUUUYWCCGCUACAUCUUCAAUUCCGCCUACCUCGUCUGUACUCAAGCCCCCCAGUAUCAAUGGCAGUUCCSCGGUUGAGCCGCGGGSUUUCUCCACUGACUUAAGGGGCCGCCUACGCACCCUUUAAACCCAAUAAAUCCGGAAAACGCUUGCACCCUCCGUAUUACCGCGGCUGCUGGCACGGARUUAGCCGGKGCUUAUUCCCCAGGKACCGUCAGUUCCCCACGCAUGGGUGUUUUCUUCCCUGGUAAAAGCAGUUUACAACCCAUAAGGCCUUCAUCCUGYACGCGGCAUGGCUGGGUCAGGCUUCCGCCCAUUGCCCAAUAUUCCCUACUGCUGCCUCCCGUAC
rnacentral:rRNA from 1 species